GACGAACGCUGGCGGCGUGCUUAACACAUGCAAGUCGAACGGAAAGGCCCUGCUUGUGUUGGGUGCUCGAGUGGCGAACGGGUGAGUAACACGUGAGUAACCUGCCCUGGAGGUUGGGAUAACUUGAGGAAACGGGGGCUAAUACCGGAUAGGAGCUCCUGCUGGAGGGGGGGGGUUGGAAAGUUUCGGCGGGUGGGGAUGGACUCGCGGCUUAUCAGCUUGUUGGGGGGGUAGUGGCUUACCAAGGCUUUUACGGGUAGCCGGCCUGAGAGGGUGACCGGCCCCCUUGGUACUGAGAUACGGCCCAGAGUGCUACGGGAGGCAGCAGUGGGGAAUAUUGCACAAUGGGCGGAAGCGUGAUGCAGCAACGCCGCGUGCGGGAUGCCGGCCUUCGGGUUGUAAACCGCUUUCGCCUGUGACGACGCGUGAGUGACGGUAAUGGGUAAAGAAGCACCGGCUAACUACGUG
rnacentral:rRNA from 1 species